rnacentral:rRNA from 1 species
GUCGAACGGUAACAGGAUGUGCUUGCACAUCGCUGACGAGUGGCGGACGGGUGAGUAAUGCUUGGGAACUUGCCUUUGCGAGGGGGAUAACAGUUGGAAACGACUGCUAAUACCGCAUAAUGUCUUCGGACCAAACGGGGCUUAGGCUCCGGCGCAAAGAGAGGCCCAAGUGAGAUUAGCUAGUUGGUAAGGUAACGGCUUACCAAGGCGACGAUCUCUAGCUGUUCUGAGAGGAAGAUCAGCCACACUGGGACUGAGACACGGCCCAGACUCCUACGGGAGGCAGCAGUGGGGAAUAUUGCACAAUGGGGGGAACCCUGAUGCAGCCAUGCCGCGUGUGUGAAGAAGGCCUUCGGGUUGUAAAGCACUUUCAGUUGUGAGGAAAGGUUAGUAGUUAAUACCUGCUAGCCGUGACGUUAACAACAGAAGAAGCACCGGCUAACUCCGUGCCAGCAGCCGCGGUAAUACGGAGGGUGCGAGCGUUAAUCGGAAUUACUGGGCGUAAAGCGCACGCAGGCGGUUUGUUAAGCUAGAUGUGAAAGCCCCGGGCUCAACCUGGGAUGGUCAUUUAGAACUGGCAGACUAGAGUCUUGGAGAGGGGAGUGGAAUUCCAGGUGUAGCGGUGAAAUGCGUAGAUAUCUGGAGGAACAUCAGUGGCGAAGGCGACUCCCUGGCCAAAGACUGACGCUCAUGUGCGAAAGUGUGGGUAGCGAACAGGAUUAGAUACCCUGGUAGUCCACACCGUAAACGCUGUCUACUAGCUGUGUGUGUCUUUAAGACGUGCGUAGCGAAGCUAACGCGCUAAGUAGACCGCCUGGGGAGUACGGCCGCAAGGCUAAAACUCAAAUGAAUUGACGGGGGCCCGCACAAGCGGUGGAGCAUGUGUUUAAUUCGAUGCACGCGAAGAACCUUACCUACACUUGACAUGCAGAGACUUUCAGAGAUGGAUUGAUGCUUCGGGACUCUGACACAGUGCUGCAUGCUGUCGUCAGCUCGUGUCGUGAGAUGUGGGUAGUCCCGCACGAGCGCACCCCUGUCUUAGUGCAUCAUUUAGUGGCACUCUAAAGAGACGCGGUGAUAGCGGAGAGGUGGGGACGACGUCAGUCCUCAUGGCCUUACGGAUGGGCUACCACCGGCUCAAUGGCGGUGACAUGGUAAUCCUCAAAACGUUCGAUUCGAGUAGGGGGUCGCAAACGUCGACACAUGAUCGGAAUUCCAAUGAAUUACGGUAACCCAUGAACCGGGAGAUAACGCUAUAUCUCGCGGCGGGGA